rnacentral:rRNA from 1 species
UAGGGAAUCUUCCACAAUGGNGAAGCNAUGGAGCAACGCCGCGUGUGUGAUGAAGGGUUUCGGCUCGUAAAACACUGUUGUAAGAGAAGAAUGACAUUGAGAGUAACUGUUCAAUGUGUGACGGUAUCUUACCAGAAAGGAACGGCUAACUACGUGCCAC